rnacentral:rRNA from 1 species
CCUACGGGAGGCAGCAGUGGGGAAUAUUGGACAAUGGGCGAAAGCCUGAUCCAGCAAUGCCGCGUGAGUGAUGAAGGCCUUAGGGUUGUAAAGCUCUUUUACCAGGGAUGAUAAUGACAGUACCUGGAGAAUAAGCUCCGGCUAACUCCGUGCCAGCAGCCGCGGUAAUACGGAGGGAGCUAGCGUUGUUCGGAAUUACUGGGCGUAAAGCGUACGUAGGCGGUUAUUCAAGUCAGAGGUGAAAGCCCGGGGCUCAACCCCGGAACUGCCUUUGAAACUAGAUAGCUAGAAUCUUGGAGAGGUUAGUGGAAUUCCGAGUGUAGAGGUGAAAUUCGUAGAUAUUCGGAAGAACACCAGUGGCGAAGGCGACUAACUGGACAAGUAUUGACGCUGAGGUACGAAAGCGUGGGGAGCAAACAGGAUUAGAUACCCUGGUAGUCCACGCCGUAAACGAUGAUAACUAGUUGUUCGGGCACUUGGUGCCUGAGUGACGCAGCUAACGCAUUAAGUUAUCCGCCUGGGGAGUACGGUCGCAAGAUUAAAACUCAAAGGAAUUGACGGNNGAGACGNGCGAGACGACGACGAGGAGAG